rnacentral:tRNA from 1 species
AUUUAAAUAGUUUAAAAUAAAAUAUUAGAGUGUGGAUCUAAAGAUAUAUAAGUAUAUUUUAAAUU